UACGAAGGGGGCUAGCGUUGCUCGGAAUUACUGGGCGUAAAGCGUGCGCAGGCGGUGAUGUAAGACAGAUGUGAAAUCCCCGGGCUCAACCUGGGAACUGCAUUUGUGACUGCAUCGCUGGAGUACGGCAGAGGGGGAUGGAAUUCCGCGUGUAGCAGUGAAAUGCGUAGAUAUGCGGAGGAACACCGAUGGCGAAGGCAAUCCCCUGGGCCUGUACUGACGCUCAUGCACGAAAGCGUGGGGAGCAAACAGG
rnacentral:rRNA from 1 species